UACGUAGGGGGGCUAGCGUUGUCCGGAAUCAUUGGGCGUAAAGCGCGUGUAGGCGGCCCGGUAAGUCCGCUGUGAAAGUCGGGGGCUCAACCCUCGGAUGCCGGUGGAUACUGUCGGGCUCGAGUACGGAAGAGGCGAGUGGAAUUCCUGGUGUAGCGGUGAAAUGCGUAGAUAUCGGGAGGAACACCCUGCGGCGAAGGCGGGCUUCCUGGACUGCAACUGACGCUGAGGCGCGAAAGCUAGGGGAGCAAACAGG
rnacentral:rRNA from 1 species